AUUAUACUCCCUCCGUCCAGAAUUACUUGUCGCAAAAAUGGAUAGAAAUGGAUGUAUGUAGAACUAAAAUGCAUCUAUAUACAUCCAUUCCUCCGACAAGUAUUUCCGGACAGAGGGAGUAGAUA
rfam:Triticum aestivum genome assembly, contig: Triticum_aestivum_CS42_TGACv1_scaffold_132035_2BL